UACGAAGGGGGCUAGCGUUGCUCGGAAUUACUGGGCGUAAAGGGAGCGUAGGCGGGUUAUCAAGUUGGAGGUGAAAUCUCCGGGCUUAACCCGGAAAGGUCAACUGAUACUGCAGGGCUAGAGUGCAGAAGGGGCAACUGGAAUUCUCGGUGUAGCGGUGAAAUGCGUAGAUAUCGAGAGGAACACCUGCGGCGAAGGCGGGUUGCUGGGCUGACACUGACGCUGAGGCGCGAAAGCCAGGGGAGCGAACGGG
rnacentral:rRNA from 1 species